GGGGGGGGGGGGGGGGGGGGGGGGGGGGGGCGGGGCGGGGGGGGGGGGGGGGGGCGGGCGGCGCGGAUGUUGGGGGCGGGCGGGGGAGUAACACGUGGAUAACCUACCUGUAAGACUGGGAGAACUUCGGGAAACCGUAGCUAAUACCGGAUAAUAUUUUGAACCGCAUGGUUCAAAAGUGAAAGACGGUCUUGCUGUCCCUUAUAGAUGGAUCCGCGCUGCAUUAGCUAGUUGGUAAGGUAACGGCUUACCAAGGCAACGAUGCAUAGCCGACCUGAGAGGGUGAUCGGCCACACUGGAACUGAGACACGGUCCAGACUCCUACGGGAGGCAGCAGUAGGGAAUCUUCCGCAAUGGGCGAAAGCCUGACGGAGCAACGCCGCGUGAGUGAUGAAGGUCUUCGGAUCGUAAAACUCUGUUAUUAGGGAAGAACAUAUGUGUAAGUAACUGUGCACAUCUUGACGGUACCUAAUCAGAAAGCCACGGCUAACUACGUG
rnacentral:rRNA from 1 species